rnacentral:tRNA from 2 species
GGGCCUUUAGCUCAGCUGGCUAGAGCGCGCGCUUGAUAAGCGCGAGGUCCCUGGUUCGACCCCAGGAAGGCCCACCA